rnacentral:rRNA from 1 species
CUACGAUCCAAGACGAAGGAGACGUUCGGGUGCAGUGCCGCAGCGGUGCGUUACGCGUGGGAAUCUGCCCUUGGGUUCGCAAAAACAGUAAGAAAUGACUCCUAAUACCGGAUGAUGUCUUCCGACCAAAGAUUUAUCGCCCAGGGAUGACCCCGCGUAGGAUUAGCUUGUUGGUGAGGUAAAAGCUCACCAAGGCGACGAUCUUUAGCUGGUCUGAGAGGAUGAUCAGCCACACUGGGACUGAGACACGGCCCAGACUCCUACGGGAGGCAGCAGUGGGGAAUAUUGGACAAUGGGCGAAAGCCUGAUCCAGCAAUGCCGCGUGAGUGAUAAAGGCCUUAGGGUUGUAAAGCUCUUUUACCGGGGAUGAUAAUGACAGUACCGGGAGAAUAAGCCCCGGCUAACUCCGUGCCAGCAGCCGCCGUAAUACGGAGGGGCCUAGCGUUGUUCGGAAUUACUGGGCGUAAAGCGCGCGAAGGCGGCUUUGUAGGUUAGAGGUGAAAGCCCGGAGCUCAACUCCGGAACUACCUUUAAGACUGCAUCGCGAGAACGAUGGAGAGGUAAGUGGAAUUCCGAGUGUAGAGGUGAAAUUCGUAGAUAUUCGGAAGAACACCAGUGGCGAAGGCGACUUACUGGACAUCUGUUGACGCUGAGGUGCGAAAGCGUGGGCUGCAAUCAGGAUUAGAUACCCGCGUAGUCCACGCCGUAAACGAUGAUAACUAGCUGUCACGGCUCAUGGAGAUUAGGUGGCGCAGCUUACGCGUUACGUUAUCCGCCUCCGGAGUACGGCCGCUAGGAUAAAACUCAAAGAAAUUGACGG